AAACACCCAUUUUCGAAUACCUCGCAUCAGAGAAAAUAGGUAGAGAAGCGAAGAGUGUGAAGCCAAAAAAACCUUAUCGAACCGUCAAACUGGUAUCCUAUCGAACAAAAUCAACAAACCUUGACUCUUGCCGCAUAAUUCAUGAUAAGUAUUGCGAUCAUUCGAAACAUUUUUUUACCAAUAUUUUUAAAUAUCAAGGAUAUUACUGUAAAUAACAUUGAUUCCUUAAAUUGACGAAAAUUGAUCCUUUUUGGUAUACAUUUUAGAUGAUUUCUUGUUAAUAAAUCAACAGCAUAAAUCAUUUUCUAAUGCAGUACACGAGAAAGACACUACCCUCGAUAGGUGGAUUAAUCUGUUUUUCGGUAGUUGCCAACAUCCGAGUUACGAAAUCAAAACAGAAAAAGUGUUGCCGUUCAGACGGCUGUUCACUCUUCGCUUCUCUACCUAUUUUCUCUGCCUCGCAUGUCUGUCAAAACAUGGGAAAAAUUGAUUAUACAAAAAGAGUAAAAAAAUACCCAUGUUUCUGAACCGACCUUCUUCCCAUUAAUGGGUGAAAAAAGUUAUAGAGGUAAUCACGUUCAAAAGUAUGCGUGCCUUUUUUGUAGAUGUCGUUGUGAAACUGCGAGGAAAAUAUUUGCACUCUUGCCCCGGACGUUAGUUUUAUCAUUAUUUACCCGUUUUACCCAAAUCGAUUGGGUAAUAUUUGCAUAUGCGAUCUGAGUAGCCUUUCAAUCGGCGUGCACUUUUGUGUGAGGAAAAAUUUGCGCUAGUGUUCGUGUGUUGAAAUGUCACUUAUCUCUAUACAGGUAAUCACGUUCAAAUGUAUGCGUGCCUUUUUAGUAGAUGUAGUUGUGAAACUGCGAGGAAAAUAUUUGCACUCUUGCCCCGGACGUUAGUUUUAUCAUUAUUUACCCGUUUUACCCAAUUCGAUUGGGUAAUAUUUGCAUAUGCAAUCUGAAUAGCCUUUCAAUCGGCGUGCACUUUUGCUCGUUUUUGUGUGAGGAAAAAUUUGCGCUAGUGUUCGUGUGUUGAAAUGUCACUUAUCUCUAUAAAAGUUUCACCGCGACCUUGUUUGCAGACUUCAGUUCUUGUUUCAGUUUGUCUAUUUAGAAGUAAGUUAUUACUAUUUAUUUGUGUUCCCCCUGUUGACGAAUCAUGUUCCGGAGAAAAAUGCAGUGAAAUUCAUAUUAAUAGUUAUGGCUUGAGUUGCUCCGCCCCACGGGUAGGCUGACCAGAUUUGUUCCGUUUAAAUACGCGACACAUUCCAGAAAUUCAACAAAAAGGAAGUCAAUGUCCAAAAACAGAACUAGGUGUUGACAAUAAUGCAGAUUCAACUGGAAAGAAUGAAUAAUUCAGUCAGAAACAUGGACAAUAUUCCAGUGGCGAGUAUUUGAAAUUUGAGUUGUCCCGUUAAAUACGAGACGGAUGGUCAGCCUACCCACGGGUCAAGCCACGGGUAUCAUUUACUGCAAGAUUAUUUUCGCCAGUAGUAACGUGAAUGCGAACGUGAAUGCAAUUAAAAAUGAAAUGUAUUUAUACAAAUAUUGUUUUGCCAAUAAAAAUGAACGGAUACACAUAUUUUCUUUUUAGUUUACUUCAAUAGAAUAAUAGGGUCCUAAAAUUAAAGACGAAAUCUCGCUUAUAUUGAAUAAUACGAUCAAGCAUGGUAUUGUACGUGGAUUUGCUAACUGAACACGACGAAGAACCGUCGUUUUUGGAAUCACCGUUCGAAUCGCCGUUGGAAUCGUCGUUCGAUUGCAGAGCGAGACAGCAACAAAACUGACACAUCGCUUUGACAUAUUUAACGUAGGAGCAACACGUGCGUGAUAUUCUCUCUCUCUGUUGGUGUGGUUUGUUUUGAUUCAAUCUGACAUUUCUUUUAUGCUGCUCAUGCUGCCGAUGCUGCCAGCUGAUGGUGGUAAGGAUGGAGGAACAUAGUCGGAGGGGUGCUCCAAUGUGUUUUCAGAAGAAUUCGUCGAGAUAAAAUGUUUUCAUUAUGAAAAAUAUGGAAAAUUCUAGUUUAAAAGUUCAGCAUUAAACUUUUCAAUGCGUGUUACGUAUAUUAUUUUAUAGAGAAUCUGUCUAGAGGUCGUUUCACGUAAUAAGAGCAUUAACAUAAAAGUCCAUAAUUUUACAAGAACGCAUUGAAACGCCCCUUGAAAUUUAACGGCGAUUCCCAACCAGCUCAAGCAAAUUCCCUUGGAAUUCACCUUCGAAGUAAAAUCACAAUAUUCUAAUCGAAAUUGUACUUUACUCGAACUUGAAAAACAAAGGAAUAAUGAGAAAAUUCGAAAUAAGUAAAAUGGUAAAUAGUUCUACACGCUAACCUGAAACUACCCAUCGCCUGGGUCGUUUCUACCCGGAUUUUCAUGUUGUUAGCAGUUGUCAAAAUCCGGGUAACCCGAAAACCCAGAUAGGUUAAAUCUGGGUAAAGAUCUGGGUAAUCGGCACUUUGUCACUUUCCGGCUUGAGAAUAUGGCAGCGGUCAGGCGAACGCUGGCAAUUGGGUUUUUAAAUUAAGAAAAAUUCAAUGAUUUUUAAUUUUUUAACGAAAGAGCACUUUUUUCUGAGCCGCUAUGAUUUUUUUCAGAUUUUUAGAACUUUAUUUUGGUAUUUAAAAUCAAUUUCAAAGAGAUUUUCUGAAAUCACCUUUUGACAGCUGGGCAACUGCUUGACAGCUCCGCUUAGUACAAAAUGCGACGAGGGGUGAUUCGACAAAUCGCUCCCAUACAAAUUUCUAAUUGAUUUUUAAAUAGGUUCCCGGGCACCAAAAUUGAUGAAAAUUUGGAUUUCGGCUCAGUUUGGCAUGCAGAUUCAGAAUAUGGAAUUAUCUCAACACCACUAAAGAAGCCAAUUAUGGGUGUUUCCUCGAAAAAUAUGAGGAUAAAUGACGGGAAAACAGUUAAAUCGCAGACAGACGUUCUAGCUCGAACAAAUUUAUUCAAAUUUUCUAUGUAAAUUUUCACUAGCGACACCUAGGCAACCGAUUGCCACAGUGCAGUCGCGAGCAGUUGACAGUUUGAGAAACCACGUGCUUCCAGCCGCUUACGUACCACCCAAUCCACCACCCACCAAAAAAUAAAAUCAAAACAAACACUGUAGAAAUCAUUCCUACAUUUGCGUCACAUUCACAAAGAUUUCCCAAUGCGAGUGAAGUUCAUCCAAAUGCAGUUUUAUUCAAGCAAAUCUAUGUAACAUAAAAGUAAUAAUGUGCAAAAUAUUUUACAAGAGUCCUGCGCUAAUUUGUGCAAAAGAUUUAAGAUAUUAAAUAAAAGUCAUUUACUCUGCACAAAUUAUGUGAAAACAUUAUUAGCGUGCAACACGUGCGGUCUUUUCCCGCCAUCCGGCUGGAAGACGACCGUGGUGACAGUUGUUGGUCGCAACGCACAUAUGAGGCAGCGAUUGAAUAUGAACGCCGCUAACGCCAUCUGUUCGCUGAUUGCCACUUGGCAAUUUGUGGCGGCCAUGUUUUUUACACAAGCUGCUGAGUCAAACUUGAACGUCUGUCUGCGGUUAAAUUCUUCCAGGGAACUGUUUUCCUGCAUCAGGUAAGUGAACAGCACACGGGAAUUGGGAGCUUUUUAUUAAAAAUCUAAAUUGGAAAUAAAUUAACAAAAUCAAGGUCCAGGAGGAGCUGGGUACCGGUUACCCAGAUUUUGCCACCAACAUCGGUAACCCAGAUUAGAGUAAAGGUGCCUUUACUCAGAUUAGAGUAACUGCAGUUUUGCUCAAUCUGGGUCGCUUUGACACCAAUCUGGGUAACUGAGGGUUAGCGUGUACUUUGACAUUUGAGGUCUACCUUGUGUGACUGAGCUCGACAUUUUUCGCACUGGGAUUUCAAAAAUGUUCCUAUUGAUUGAUGCACCAAGCGGUAAGAAGAAGAAUUUUGACAUCCAAGCGGUGUGCCGUUUACAUCCAUCGACCAAUCAGCGACGAGGAUCUAAUCGACGGCACACCGCUUGGAUGUCAAAACUUCUUCUUCUUUUCGCUUGGUGCAUCCUAGGAUAGGAUACGACAACUAGUCAGCCCAAAAGAGACCAAUUUGGGGACCAAUAAUCUUAGCAACGCGGAAAAACAAGACAGCAAGCUGUGAAAUUAGACAGAGAAGUUGCUGGUGUCACAUCCUAUCCUAGGGUGCAUCAAUCAAUAUCUGACAUACACGGUGAAAAAAAAAUUACUCAAAGUAUGUGUUAUAAGCUAGGGACGAGACAAAAGGCUAAAAAAAUAAAAUUAUAUAUUUUCAACUACGGUUAAUAAAAACGUCAAAAAUUGAGUAAAUAUCUGAGGGAUGCGGACUCAACUUUUUGGUCAUUCAAUUUGAGCACGUACUCUUUCUUUCAGUGCUCCCCGUUGUAAAGUUUCUUAUCUCUAUGGAGAUCAAUUUCGAAGUGCACGCUUCACAUAACGUUUAAACCAAGGCUCAAACAUAUCGAUUACAGCAAAAGCUACAAUAAAACGUAUAUUCAGCUAACUUUGUCAUUAUGGGCUUGGAAGAAUAAUUUACAAAUUUUAGGCAAGUUUCACACAUAAUUUUCUCACAGAUAAAACGUUUUGAAAGUUUUCGUAUCUGACGGCAAAGUUUGUGUGUCAUUAAAUGUUUCACUUGUUUUAGCGUGACUAAGCAAACCAAACUUGUAUCCAGGCAUACUCUGAUCAUUUUAGAGGUUUGGCAGCAGCCUGGCUGCUGUCAAAUUUCAGUCCGCAAUCCUCAGGUAAAUAUGUAAUCUUGAACCAUAUAUUGUGGUCGAGAUUGUGGUUUAAAACAAGAAACUCGAUAGGACUUUUAGGGUUCAUUCAAAUAUUACGUAACGCAAAAUUUAUCAAUUUUUGACCCCCUCCCUCCCCCACGUAAAAAGUUUUGUAUGGGAAAUUUUGGAAUUUUGUAUGAAGCGUAACACAGCGGUAGACCCCCUCCCUCCCCCCUUAGCGUUACGUAAUAUUUGAACGAACCCUUAGGAGCCUAUUGCGAAAUGUUUAUUAUUAUCCAGGCCCCUGACACGGCCUAUAUCAAUGCAGUGGAAUCAUGGUAGACAGGAUGUCCUGGGCGCUAGUAAAUAGCGCCCACUGUCAAAUGCGAAAACAUCAACAAUUUUUUGUUUAACGUUUGUUGUGGUUUGUUGAUCAGUUUUUGGAAUCAUUUUUUCCACCUCUUAUGAUCACAAAACACUUCAAACUCGCUUUAAUAUUAAUGUACGGUAAGAGGAGCAUGCGAUUAGUUGAAUAAAGCAACCCAACAAACACGCAUUGUGAAUGUGAUUUCGUGUGUGGAUCACAACAUCAAACAAAAGCUGUGUUUGUUGAUUACACCAACAAUCAAUAUGCAGCUGCCAAUUCGCCCGUGACCCCAGUUACAUAAUUUUUCAAUGACCCCAAUCCCCCAGUACAUAAACACAAUAAGGCGGCGCUUUUGACGCUUUUCGUUGUCAAUCAUAGUUACCUUCGCCCAUUUCAAAUUUCGUUCACAAGAAAUAGGUACAAAGAAUUGACAUCUCUCAGAUUUGAUCAGCUCGGCUUUACCGGAUCAACGGGCUACCGUAUCUACCUGGUGGAGCAUCUUCUGUAAUCAUAUGUGCCCUAUUACAUUCCGCGCAUCGAUGCCAUUCUCUAAAGCAACUGAAAAAGCCCAUAUCUAUCCGGAAUGCAUUGCAUACUGUUGCAAAGUGCCAGCUGCAAGAGGAAUUGGACCUUGAAUUUGAACAGAAGUAAUUAGAACUAGACUAUUCA